rnacentral:rRNA from 1 species
GGUGUGAAUAUUGGUACAAUGGGUGCAAGCCUGAUCCAGCCAUGCCGCGUGAGGGAAGAAGGCCUUCGGGUUGUAAAGCUUUUUUUUUUGGGAGGAAAGGCUGCCAUUUUAUGGGUUGCUGUUUUUACUUUACCAAAAAAAAAAGCACCGGUUAACUUCGUGCCCCCCGCCGCUAUAAUUAAAA